rnacentral:rRNA from 1 species
AUUAGAGUUUGAUCAUGGCUCAAAUUGAACGCUGGCGGCAUGCCUUACACAUGCAAGUCGAACGGCAGCACGGGGGUAACCCUGGUGGCGAGUGGCGAACGGGUGAGUAAUACAUCGGAACGUGUCCUAGAGUGGGGGAUAGCCCGGCGAAAGCCGGAUUAAUACCGCAUACGCUCGAGAGAGGAAAGCGGGGGAUCUUCGGACCUCGCGCUCAAGGGGCGGCCGAUGGCGGAUUAGCUAGUUGGUAGGGUAAAGGCCUACCAAGGCGACGAUCCGUAGCUGGUCUGAGAGGACGACCAGCCACACUGGGACUGAGACAUGGCCCAGACUCCUACGGGAGGCAGCAGUGGGGAAUUUUGGACAAUGGGGGCAACCCUGAUCCAGCAAUGCCGCGUGUGUGAAGAAGGCCUUCGGGUUGUAAAGCACUUUUGUCCGGAAAGAAAUCCUCUGGGUUAAUACCUCGGGGGGAUGACGGUACCGGAAGAAUAAGCACCGGCUAACUACGUGCCAGCAGCCGCGGUAAUACGUAGGGUGCGAGCGUUAAUCGGAAUUACUGGGCGUAAAGCGUGCGCAGGCGGUUUGCUAAGACCGAUGUGAAAUCCCCGGGCUUAACCUGGGAACUGCAUUGGUGACUGGCAAGCUAGAGUGUGGCAGAGGGGGGUAGAAUUCCACGUGUAGCAGUGAAAUGCGUAGAGAUGUGGAGGAAUACCGAUGGCGAAGGCAGCCCCCUGGGCUAACACUGACGCUCAUGCACGAAAGCGUGGGGAGCAAACAGGAUUAGAUACCCUGGUAGUCCACGCCCUAAACGAUGUCAACUAGUUGUUGGGGAUUCAUUUCCUUAGUAACGUAGCUAACGCGUGAAGUUGACC